rnacentral:rRNA from 1 species
AUAAGCGGAGGAAAAGAAACCACAGGGAUUACCUCAGUAACGGCGAGUGAAGCGGUAACAGCUCAAAUUUGAAAGCUAGCUCUUUUAGGGUUCGCAUUGUAAUUUGUAGAAGAUGCUUCGGGUGUGGCCCCGGUCUAAGUUCCUUGGAACAGGACGUCAUAGAGGGUGAGAAUCCCGUAUGUGACUGGGUGCUUUCGCUCAUGUGAAGCUCUUUCGACGAGUCGAGUUGUUUGGGAAUGCAGCUCAAAAUGGGUGGUAAAUUUCAUCUAAAGCUAAAUAUUGGCCAGAGACCGAUAGCGCACAAGUAGAGUGAUCGAAAGAUGAAAAGCACUUUGGAAAGAGAGUUAAACAGUACGUGAAAUUGUUGAAAGGGAAGCGCUUGCAACCAGACUUGCGCGCUGAUGAUCAUCCGGGCUUCUGCCCGGUGCACUCGUCUGCGCUCAGGCCAGCAUCGGUUUCGGUGGUGGGAUAAAGGCCUUGGGAAUGUAGCUUCUUUCGGGGAGUGUUAUAGCCCUCGGUGCAAUGCCGCCUACCGGGACCGAGGACCGCGCUUCGGCUAGGAUGCUGGCGUAAUGGUUGUAAGCGACCCGUCUUGAAACACGGACCAAGGAGUCUAACAUCUAUGCGAGUGUUUGGGUGUCAAACCCAUACGCGUAAUGAAAGUGAACGGAGGUGAGAACCCUUAAGGGUGCAUCAUCGACCGAUCCUGAUGUCUUCGGAUGGAUUUGAGUAAGAGCAUAGCUGUUGGGACCCGAAAGAUGGUGAACUAUGCGUGAAUAGGGUGAAGCCAGAGGAAACUCUGGUGGAGGCUCGCAGCGGUUCUGACGUGCAAAUCGAUCGUCAAAUUUGCGUAUAGGGGCGAAAGACUAAUCGAACCAUCUAG